UUUUAACUUAAGAGGCAACUCUUAACUGGCCAUCCAGGGAAAAAACCGAGAGGUUCAAGCUUGGAGGGCAGAAAGCUUCACGGAGUAGCGCUAAAAUCGUGAGGUGGUCAUGGCAUGGCAGUAGCGCAUACAAUGACGUGCCAA
rnacentral:ncRNA from 1 species